rnacentral:rRNA from 1 species
GAUGAACGCUGGCGGCGUGCCUAAUACAUGCAAGUAGAACGCUGAAGGAGGAGCUUUCUCUUCUGGAUGAGUUGCGAACGGGUGAGUAACGCGUAGGUAACCUGCCUGGUAGCGGGGGAUAACUAUUGGAAACGAUAGCUAAUACCGCAUGACAACAGUUAUUGCAUGAUAACUGUUUAAAAGGGGCAACUGCUCCACUACCAGAUGGACCUGCGUUGUAUUAGCUAGUUGGUGAGGUAACGGCUCACCAAGGCGACGAUACAUAGCCGACCUGAGAGGGGGAUCGGCCACACCGGGAAUGAGACAAGGCCCCGGCUCCUAAGGGGAGGAGCAGUAGGGGAACUUUGGCAAAGGACGGAAGGCUGACCGGGGCACGCCGGCGGAGGGAAGAAGGGUUUCGGGUCCUAAAGAUCUGUUUUAAGGGAAGAACGAGUGUGGGAGUGGAAAGUGCACACUGUGACGGUAUCUUACCAGAAAGGGACGGCUAACUACGUG